rnacentral:rRNA from 1 species
GAUGAACGCUGGCGGCGUGCCUAAUACAUGCAAGUCGAGCGAACAGACGAGGAGCUUGCUCCUCUGACGCUAGCGGCGGACGGGUGAGUAACACGUGGAUAACCUACCUAUAAGACUGGGAUAACUUCGGGAAACUGGAGCUAAUACCGGAUAAUAUAUUGAACCGCAUGGUUCAAUAGUGAAAGACGGUUUUGCUGUCACUUAUAGAUGGAUCCGCGCCGCAUUAGCUAGUUGGUAAGGUAACGGCUUACCAAGGCAACGAUGCGUAGCCGACCUGAGAGGGUGAUCGGCCACACUGGAACUGAGACACGGUCCAGACUCCUACGGGAGGCAGCAGUAGGGAAUCUUCCGCAAUGGGCGAAAGCCUGACGGAGCAACGCCGCGUGAGUGAUGAAGGUCUUCGGAUCGUAAAACUCUGUUAUUAGGGAAGAACAAAUGUGUAAGUAACUAUGCACGUCUUGACGGUACCUAAUCAGAAAGCCACGGCUAACUACGUG